rnacentral:rRNA from 1 species
UGGGGAAUAUUGCACAAUGGGGGAAACCCUGAUGCAGCGACGCCGCGUGAGCGAAGAAGGUUUUCGAAUCGUAAAGCUCUGUCCUAUGAGAAGAUAAUGACGGUAACCGGAGAAGAAGCCCCGGCUAACUUCGUGCCAGCAGCCGCGGUAAUACGAAGGGGGCUAGCGUUGUUCGGAUUUACUGGGCGUAAAGCGCACGUAGGCGGACUAUUAAGUCAGGGGUGAAAUCCCGGGGCUCAACCCCGGAACUGCCUUUGAUACUGGUAGUCUUGAGUUCGAGAGAGGUGAGUGGAAUUCCGAGUGUAGAGGUGAAAUUCGUAGAUAUUCGGAGGAACACCAGUGGCGAAGGCGGCUCACUGGCUCGAUACUGACGCUGGGGUGCGAAAGCGUGGGGAGCAAACAGG